rnacentral:misc_RNA from 1 species
AAAAAAGGUUGCAGUUGCAUGUAGCAAUCUAUCUCAAUCGUGCACGGCCUUAUGGAAGUAGAUGCUAACUUUAAUCCGUUAAAGGUAUAACUUUUCUUGACUGCCAUGUCUUUGCAACCAAGCUCGAAAAUCAGCCAGUCAAUGUGAACCACUGCCCAAACCAGAACCUCUGCCAGAAAAUUCAUUUAAAACAAUCCCAGAAAAUUCAUUUAAAGCUCUCUGCGCACUGUGAAAGCGACACGGUAUAAGCAGCAAUCAGCAGAGACCUGGCGGUGGCGGUUGGGCCAUUUCCACUUUCUUUUUUUUUCUGUUGGGUCAUUAAUGCCUGCCUCUUGCUAUUAAGAGUUUCAGAUAAGAUAACUGUUAGGCUGUUAGCUCGUCGCCAAAUAAGGAAAUUAAAAUCCUAGAAGAUUUUGUUUUCCAUUAUAAUGUACAAAGAGACAGAGUAUACAGUCAAAUAGUUCAUAAUUAUUUAUAUUAAUUAUUCUUGUUGGUUAGCUCUAGUUUUGGGUUAGGGGUAAACAGAAAACACCAGAAGCAACAACAUAGAAAGAAGAAUCAAAGCUCGUGAUUGGAGUGGCUGGAGAUACAGAUCAACACCAACACCGGUAGCUUCAGGAAGGAGAAGAAGAAGAUGGGCCACCAUAGACCAUGAUAAACAUCACCUCCAUAUUAUCACACUUCAUUAAGCCAUGGUAGACGCUGGACGAGUUCUGCUCCUUGUUCUAAUUCUGUUAUUGAUUCACUGUUCACUGGCCCAGCAUAGCUUCUUGAACUCCACCAGCGAACGUAUAGCUUUGCUUGAUCUCCGGUCAUCUUUAGGGCUCAGAAGCUCCGACUGGCCUAUAAAAUCCGACCCUUGUAAUAACUGGAAUGGAAUCCAGUGCAAGAAUGGCCGGGUCACCGGAAUAAAUAUAUCUGGUUUCAAACGGACCCACAUUGGGGGUUCAAAUCCCAGUUUCAGCGUCGAUUCCCUCGUUAAUUUGACGUUUCUGGAGUAUUUCAAUGCUUCUGGGUUCUCACUUCCCGGUUCGAUACCGUCCUGGUUCGGUUACGGGCUUGGUUCGCUGCAAGUACUCGAUCUCCGGUCUACUUCAAUGAGCGGUCCCCUUCCUGAUUCUCUCGGUAAUUUGACAAGACUCGAUGCUUUACAUCUAUCUGAUAAUAACCUUGCUGGUAGUAUACCCUCUGCAUUGGGCCAGUUAAUGCAAUUAUCAGUUCUUGACCUUUCGAGGAAUUUCCUCACUGGACAAAUACCUACUACUUUUGCAUUGCUUAGUAAUUUGUCAAGGCUUGACCUUUCUUCCAAUUACUUAACUGGGUCAAUUCCACCGGGUUUGGGUAACAUUGAUAGUCUGAAAUCCUUGAAUUUAUAUGACAAUAAUCUUGCAGCUUCAAUUCCUGUGGAACUGGGUAACCUUUCACAUUUGGUUGAACUUAAUCUUGCCAAAAACUCAUUGUCUGGGUCAUUGCCUGUAGAGUUAGCAGGAAUGAGGAAUUUGGUAAGCAUGGAAAUUGGGGAUAAUGGACUAGAGGGUGGGUUGCCUGAUGGUUUAUUUUCCAGUCUUAAAAAAUUGCAAGUUGUGGUGUUAAGUGGGAACAAAUUUGAUGGUGCUCUACCUGAGGCAUUGUUGUCAUUGCCGAGCUUGCGGGUUCUUGAUGUGUCUUACAACAACUUUACAGGUGUUAUAUCUACUUUCAGUUCAAAUGGUACUGCCAGUGAUGUCUUGUUCAAUCUUUCAAAUAAUCUUUUAUAUGGAACUCUGGCCUCUCCUUUUGGAAAUUUUAGUUUGAUCGAUCUUUCUGCAAAUUAUAUCCAAGGAGAAGUUCCUGAUGGUAGUCAAAGCAAUGUUAGCAUUGCCAGGAAUUGUCUUCAGGCUGUGUCGAAUCAGAGGAGUUUGCGAGAUUGUAAAUUAUUUUAUGCUGAGAGAGGAUUAAGUUUUGAUAAUUUUGGAACCCCUGAACCAACACAGCCCCCAUUGCCUGAAGCUGCUCUUAAAAAGAGAAGAAAACGAUGGAUUUACAUUUUGGUGGGAUUGUUUGGUGGACUUGGCUUCAUUGUGAUUUUGGUACUAGUUAUGAUAGUUGUGCUGCGGAGGUGUCAUGAUACCAUUGCAAACCAGAAAGGCAGUGCUAAUGUGGGGCCUGUUCCAGAAGGAGAUAGCCCGUCACUUCCCAAGGAUCCUGUUAUUUUAUCUGGUUUUAGAGAUUCAUUUACUUAUGAACAAUUACUUUGUUCAACCAGUGAAUUUGAUGAUGCAAAUCUUAUCAAGUCUGGCCACUCUGGAGAUCUCUUUCGGGGUUUUCUAGAUGGAGGAAGCCCCGUAGUUGUAAAAAAGGUGAACUCCCAUUCUGUGAAGAAGGAAUCAUACAUGAUGGAAUUAGAACUAUUCAGCAAGUAUUCACAUACAAGAUUGGUCCCAUUCCUGGGGCAUUGUUCAGAGAAUGACAACGACAAGCUUCUGGUCUAUAAAUAUAUGCCAAAUGGAGACUUGGCUAGUUCCUUGUAUAGGGUAAGCGAUUUUGAGGAUGACAGUGUACAGUCCCUAGAUUGGAUUACAAGAUUAAAGAUUGCAAUAGGAGCUGCUGAAGGUCUUUCAUAUCUGCAUCAUGAAUGUAACCCUCCCCUUGUUCAUAGGUAUAACAAGAACUUGCAUUUUGUGAGAUUCACUUUCCUUCCAUUUUGAUUGUUGAAAUUUUCAAAUGCAAUUAUAUUUUGAUGUUUAAAGAGAUAUUCAAGCAAGCAGUAUCCUUCUGGAUGAUAAGUUUGAGGUGCGACUUGGAAGCCUGAGUGAGGUCUGUAUCCAGGAAGGGGAUUCACACAACAAUGUGCUCACAAGGUUCUUGCGGAAACCACAGUAAGCAUUGUGCAAGUCAUUAAUUUCUUUCAGCAUUUUUAAGUUUCAUUAAGAAAUAUUGAUAACCUAAACAUUGAAUCUUUUAGAUGCAUAACCUAUGUGCAUCAUUUUCUUUCACUGGGCUUUGUUUAAGGCCAAACUUUCUAUUAUCUGUUGUAAUAAUAGACAUAAGAAAACAUAUGUUGGGUUGAACAGCAGUAAAAAGGCUUGAACACAGCGUUAACUGGAUGUGAUGUCAUGAAAAGUUCACUAGUUGUGUCACUAGGUCCAGUUGGUCUGUUACUUUGUCACAGGCAGCAGCAGACAUGCACAGAGAUGUAAAUAUUAUAGAUAUUUUAUUGUGUUUUGGCAUUUGGCCUGAUGAAAUCGAACUUAGGAUAAUAUUUGAUCUGUAGGAAAACAAAAAAAGAAAAUUGAUGCUGUGACUACUGCCUCCUUUCCUAUCCUGCUUCAUUUUUUUUCCCUUUCAUUUUUGUUAUGCUUCAUCUAAGAGAUAAUUUCUGUUUCUGGUGUGCAGAUCCUCUGAACUAGGCCCUUCUGGUAUGUAUAAUCUUUAUUUAUUUUUUUUAAAUUCCUUUUAUCUUUUUCCGAACAUACUAAUUUUGAGACAUUGUUGGGUCAUUAUCAAAGGACUUUGCUGCCUGCUUUUUCUUAUAACUGAUGAUAAUGAUCCUGAGUUGAAACUCUAUUGUUGCAAAAUUGAAAGUUCAAUUCACUCAUAUGCUGGUGCUCCAGCAACCUAGUUUGACUGAAGAAUAAGAGUUUUGGAAAGAAAACAUGCAUCAGAAGUACCAUGUUGGCUGAAGCAUGCCUUUUCUGAUAUGAAUUUGUUCGGUCGCAACAAGUGUCAAUAAUUCAAAAGAAAAUUAAGCAAAAUGUUGAAAUAUUUUCUUUGUAAUGGACAGGUUCAUCAUCAGCGACUUGUGCUCAUGAUGUGUACUGUUUCGGAAAGGUCUUGCUCGAGCUCAUAACAGGGAAACUAGGCAUCAGUAAAUCGGAUGAUGCCACUACAAAGGAGUGGCUAGAACACACGCUGGGAUAUAUCAGUGUAUAUAACAAGGAACUGGUGACAAGGAUUAUUGACCCGUCUCUGGUCAUAGAUGAAGAUUUGUUGGAAGAAGUAUGGGCCAUGGCAAUUGUGGCCAGAUCAUGCCUUAAUCCCAAGGCUUCAAAACGUCCCCCAAUGAAAUAUAUACUCAAAGCAUUGGAAAACCCUUUGAAAGUUGCGAGGGAGGAGAAUUACAGUUCAGGGAGGCUGAGAACAACUUCAUCUAGGGGAUCCUGGAGUGCCGCCUUUUCUGGCGGUUGGCGACACAGUUCAUCAGAAAAUGCUAUUGUUCCAGGCCACGCUAACCGCGAAGGUGUAAGCGGCUUGAAGCAGCCAGGAAGAAUAGGAUCUCAUAGCAGUGGUGGAAUUGAACACACAUAUUCUAAUAAAAGGUUAUCCAAUGAAAUUUUCCCUGAGCCACAUGAAAUGCAAGAUGUAGAGCAGCUAGAUGAGCAUUAGUUAGCAUGGUGUUUUCAGAUGUUCAUUGAGUAUACUGUGGCCCUUGCAGUUGUGUGUUAAGAAUCAUAUUUGAUAGCUUCUCAUCGGGGAUUAAAGCAAUUGAUUGACAAGCUGAUUGGCCUGCCCGUGAAAGAUUUUUCUUUUUCUGACUGGCUAUUCUAUUGAGGCGUGACUGAGAAUUGAAAUAACACUGUUUCUGUUUGCUUGUACACAGACUCAUUCCUUGAAAUUUCAUAGAAAUGGACAUUUUUUUCAUGUCGUUGAUGUAAUUAUAUUGUAGACCUGUAUUUUUGCCUACAAAGAACUUUUUCAGCAAUUCAAUCACGCAUUCCUUAAAA